rnacentral:rRNA from 1 species
ACGAACGCUGGCGGCGUGCCUAAUACAUGCAAGUCGAACGAACUCUGGUAUUGAUUGGUGCUUGCAUCAUGAUUUACAUUUGAGUGAGUGGCGAACUGGUGAGUAACACGUGGGAAACCUGCCCAGAAGCGGGGGAUAACACCUGGAAACAGAUGCUAAUACCGCAUAACAACUUGGACCGCAUGGUCCGAGUUUGAAAGAUGGCUUCAGCUAUCACUUUUGGAUGGUCCCGCGGCGUAUUAGCUAGAUGGUGGGGUAACGGCUCACCAUGGCAAUGAUACGUAGCCGACCUGAGAGGGUAAUCGGCCACAUUGGGACUGAGACACGGCCCAAACUCCUACGGGAGGCAGCAGUAGGGAAUCUUCCACAAUGGACGAAAGUCUGAUGGAGCAACGCCGCGUGAGUGAAGAAGGGUUUCGGCUCGUAAAACUCUGUUGUUAAAGAAGAACAUAUCUGAGAGUAACUGUUCAGGUAUUGACGGUAUUUAACCAGAAAGCCACGGCUAACUACGUGCCAGCAGCCGCGGUAAUACGUAGGUGGCAAGCGUUGUCCGGAUUUAUUGGGCGUAAAGCGAGCGCAGGCGGUUUUUUAAGUCUGAUGUGAAAGCCUUCGGCUCAACCGAAGAAGUGCAUCGGAAACUGGGAAACUUGAGUGCAGAAGAGGACAGUGGAACUCCAUGUGUAGCGGUGAAAUGCGUAGAUAUAUGGAAGAACACCAGUGGCGAAGGCGGCUGUCUGGUCUGUAACUGACGCUGAGGCUCGAAAGUAUGGGUAGCAAACAGGAUUAGAUACCCUGGUAGUCCAUACCGUAAACGAUGAAUGCUAAGUGUUGGAGGGUUUCCGCCCUUCAGUGCUGCAGCUAACGCAUUAAGCAUUCCGCCUGGGGAGUACGGCCGCAAGGCUGAAACUCAAAGGAAUUGACGGGGGCCCGCACAAGCGGUGGAGCAUGUGGUUUAAUUCGAAGCUACGCGAAGAACCUUACCAGGUCUUGACAUACUAUGCAAAUCUAAGAGAUUAGACGUUCCCUUCGGGGACAUGGAUACAGGUGGUGCAUGGUUGUCGUCAGCUCGUGUCGUGAGAUGUUGGGUUAAGUCCCGCAACGAGCGCAACCCUUAUUAUCAGUUGCCAGCAUUAAGUUGGGCACUCUGGUGAGACUGCCGGUGACAAACCGGAGGAAGGUGGGGAUGACGUCAAAUCAUCAUGCCCCUUAUGACCUGGGCUACACACGUGCUACAAUGGAUGGUACAACGAGUUGCGAACUCGCGAGAGUAAGCUAAUCUCUUAAAGCCAUUCUCAGUUCGGAUUGUAGGCUGCAACUCGCCUACAUGAAGUCGGAAUCGCUAGUAAUCGCGGAUCAGCAUGCCGCGGUGAAUACGUUCCCGGGCCUUGUACACACCGCCCGUCACACCAUGAGAGUUUGUAACACCCAAAGUCGGUGGGGUAACCUUUUAGGAACCAGCCGCCUAAGGUGGGACAGAUGAUUAGGGUG